CGGCCUCAAACUCUGAAGGACUGGGGACGCAAAUAACCCCUCUGGUCCAAAACGCGCGGAUCCUAGGCGGUUCGGGUCGGGUCGACACGCGGACCCCAGGGCGAAACGGCGCCGUUUUGGUUUGGCUAUUUAAGCCCGAAAUUCUUUAAAAAAAAUAAUUUCUUCUCUGUUUUUCCAAAAAAAAGGGUUUUGCUCUCUGCAGAGGGGUCUGAGAGCCUAGACGGCGUCCGAACAAUCGCCGCCGUGUCGGCCACCACUCACCGGCGCCGGUGCCUCCGUACACGGCGGUCGGAGGGCCAAAAAUCCCUCUUUUCGACCGAUCUAAAAGCAGGUUCUUUUCUUCUUUUCUUUUAACUCUAUUUGUAUAUAUAUAUGUAUAUGCUACAGACGUAUAAAAACUAGUAAAUCGAUAGGUAGUUUCGAAAUAAAAAUAAAUAAAUAAAUAGAUAAAAGGGAAAGAAACCUUGAAUCCUUUUAUGCUUUUUUUUUUUGCUGGAAUCUGUUUCUCUUUGCUUUUAUAUUUCUAAGUGAUGUUUCUUUUUUACAAAAGAAAAUAAGGGAAGCCGAUCCUUAAAACUAUAGCCAAGUUCGGCUUUUAUACAUCUUUCCUAUUGCUAGUGCUGUCAUUUCUCUUUAAAUGUUUGCAGGUACUUGAUGGCAUGACAAUGGCGGUGGAGCAGAGGCAAGUGGAGCGCAGCGUUUAGGGCGGUGGCAAGUAAGGUACUAGGGUUUCAAUCUCUGAAACUCUGUCUCACGUGGGCUUGACUUAUUGGGCCAGGGUGCUGGGUUAAUUUUGUAAAUGGGUUAGGGGUUUUAAUUUUUAAUUUUUGGGUUUGUAAUUUAUUUGGAUACUGGGUUGGGCAAAAUGGGCUGUACACAAUUCAUCAUCUUUAUAAUUUAUUAAGGGGCCACAACAUAAUUUUUCAUUUAAGAUAGGGUGAAUGUCCCUACCUGGUCCCUCUAAAUUUACCUGUGUGUUGUAUUAAAAAAAAAAUCCUUUUAAUGUAAAUUGUUGAAAGAAAAAUUUUAGUGAUGGGGCAGUGAGUAUUUUAUAAGUGCCAAUGUUUAUAUCUUUUAUCAAUUUAGCUUUUUUUAGCUAAAUUUAAUUAUCAAUAUUUAAAAAUGAGUAAAACUAUUUUUAACGGAAAUAUUGACUAAAACAUUAAUUUUUUAAUGAUAUUAGCAUGAAAAUCACAACCCGCAUGGUAGUCCAUGCACAUGACAUUAUUUGUCUUCUGUAUUAUGCCAAUAAA
rnacentral:lncRNA from 1 species